UGCCCAGCAACUCCUAUCCCUACCUCCUCGCGGUACCGACCGAAAACUAUGAGCAACCUUAGGGAAGAUUGGGUAACCAACCCCGGUGGGAACUUUGGUCGUAGGCUGACAAGGAAGG
rnacentral:ribozyme from 1 species